rnacentral:rRNA from 1 species
UACGAAGGGGGCUAGCGUUGCUCGGAAUUACUGGGCGUAAAGCGCGCGCAGGCGGUCUUCCAAGUCAGUGGUGAAAGCCCGGAGCUCAACUCCGGAACUGCCAUUGAAACUGUGAGACUGGAGUACGAGAGAGGUGAGUGGAAUUCCCAGUGUAGAGGUGAAAUUCGUAGAUAUUGGGAAGAACACCGGUGGCGAAGGCGGCUCUCUGGCCCGCAACUGACGCUGAGGCGCGAAAGCGUGGGGAGCAAACAGG